rnacentral:rRNA from 1 species
CAGUCGCCACGGUAAUACGUAGGUGGCAAGCGUUGUCCGGAAUUAUUGGGCGUAAAGGGCUCGCAGGCGGUUUCUUAAGUCUGAUGUGAAAGCCCCCGGCUCAACCGGGGAGGGUCAUUGGAAACUGGGAAACUUGAGUGCAGAAGAAGAGAGUGGAAUUCCACGUGUAGCGGUGAAAUGCGUAGAGAUGUGGAGGAACACCAGUGGCGAAGGCGACUCUCUGGUCUGUAACUGACGCUGAGGAGCGAAAGCGAGGGGGGCGAACAGGAUUAGAUACCCCAGUAGUCCCUGUCUCUUAUAC